UACGUAGGGGGCAAGCGUUGCUCGGAAUCACUGGGCGUAAAGGGCGCGUAGGCGGGAUGGCAAGUCAGUCGUGAAAUCUCUCGGCUCAACCGAGAAACGUCGGCUGAUACUGCCGUUCUUGAGGGAUGCAGAGGAGACUGGAAUUCCCGGUGUAGCGGUGAAAUGUGUAGAGAUCGGGAGGAACACCGGUGGCGAAGGCGGGUCUCUGGGCAUCUCCUGACGCUGAGGCGCGAAAGCGUGGGGAGCAAACGGG
rnacentral:rRNA from 1 species